CCACCCUCUUUCUACCCCCCUCCCCCCAUAAAAAAAAGUAUUUAGAGUCUAUCACCCGUCUCAUUUUCUUCCCUUAAGCUCAAAUUUUAAAGUUUGGUUGUUAAGAUUUUCACAUUUAAGUGAUACGUACAUUGUACAUGAUGCAUAUAUAAUCAGUAAAAAUGUGAUUGAUAAAUAUUAAUGAAAUAUUGACAUCUGAAGAACAAAAAGAUUAAGGUACCUCACUACACCCAGACUAAUACUUUUUAAGACACUACAUCACAAGAUGGCGAUUUAAAUGUUUUGUUAAAUUGUUUAUAUCGUUGAACGAUUCGGUUCGGUUGUAUAUCGCUGUAGCUCAUUGGUUAAUGUAGUGGGCUUCUGAACAGCAGAUCAUGAGUUUGAAUCCGUCUGGAGCUUUUGUUCAUGUUAACUGAAUUAAAUUUUCGAAUAUGUAAUUUUUUAUCCAAAAUUGCACAUUUUUUGCCUAUUUGACUCGAAUACUUCUUAUCCAUUAUGAUAUCUAUCAAAAUCAAGUAAUUUUCUGCUGAUUUGAGAACAUAUUUCAAGGUGUAGUGAGCCACCUUAAGAAUUGGUUUAAUUUUUGUUAAUUUGGGUUUUUUUGCCUCCUCUCUCUUUCUGUUGUUAACAUAACGUAGUAUCUUCAAACAGGGUAUGUCUCGUUCUAAAAUGUUUAUUAAGAAACCUUAAUUAGUAUCAAUUCUUCUGUAUUCAAUUAUUCUAAGAUGGUUUGUAUGCCAUCUGAGCUCAAGCUUUAUAUAUGCACCAGCAGAGACAUUUAACUGUCAUAGGAAAUGUAUCCUUAAACCUUUUCUAAUAUUUCAUCAUUAUUUACUGGUACAUAUUUAUUAAAGUGCUUGCUUUGCCAAAACUUCAAACAGAUUAAGGAAAGGAAAUUGCUUCUUCUUAUGCAAUUUUGGUUGUGAUGUUAAAAGAAAUGAGAUAUAUUUUUGUAUAUUCUGUUAAAACACAUUGGUAAUAAAUUAUUUGCU
rnacentral:sRNA from 1 species